GCUUAAUUAAGCCCAGAAGCUACUUGAAUUGAAAAUAUUAUUACACUUGAAUUUGACUUGCGAACUAAAUUAAAGUAGCUCACUGAAUAGCUGGACUAGUUUACACUCGCAAAUGAAGAGUCAUAUUAGCAACUGGUGCAAAGAUUUCAGAAUUUCCUACAUGGAUUAGUGGUCGCAGCUGGACAGCAUACCAGAGAGUUUGGAAAUUGGAAUCAUCUUUCCAAUCAGAUUGUUUGAAGCCAACUCGACUCUCCAAGUACAAAUAAUUCAGAGUAAGUUACCGAAACAAAGAAUGCAGUAAAAAAUUAAAGUUUGUUAUACAUUAGAUCUCUGAGACCCUACACAUCUGUAAAGAUAUAUUUGAUCUAUUAUAAUAAUUUACAUAGCUGGAUGUGCUUUCCCAUCUCCCAAAAAAAAUAUGUUUCAAUUAGCUUUGGACAGGUUCUGCAUUGGGCAUGUGUUGCUCAUUGGGAUUAGUUUCUGGCCCCGGAGCAAUAGUAUGACCACUAUAAGCAGCAUAGUUCACUUUCGAUUCAUUUCUUGACUCACGAUCAUGUUGCUCGAUUGAUCGACAUCCAGAAACCGAACUGGCAUUUACAACCGUAUCCACCACAGCAGCAUCACUUCCUUCUAUAGCACUUGACUUACCAUUCUGCGGCUCAUUUGAUUUACCAUUGUCGUCACCAGAACCUGAAUGGAUGACCAUAUCAGAGCCACUAACAACCUUUCCUUCAGAUUUACAUGUCAACUCGCUAUUCAGUUGCUCCUCUGAGUUUCCACUUGGAUCCAAACUCUUGUGAACAAUCCCAUCACUCCCUCCUGAUUUAACGCCUGAUUCACCAAUGUGGAUGUUAGUAGUAUAUGUGCUUAGACCAGUUGCAUUAUGAGUUACUGUCCUUGAAGGAGGCAUAUCGUGAUCAUGUUGUCCCUCGUAACUGGUUAUAACCACUUUUGGGUCAUGAGAUGCCCUCUCUACAUGUUUCUUAACGGGGCAUCCAGGACUGGAGCACCUGUAGUAGCUCCUAUACAAUGCAAGGGCAGAACUAAAAUAAGUAUAUGCUCAAGCAUUAUAUGAUAUAAAGAAUGGUAUUUUCUCUCUUAGCAUGGAAUCAUGGAUAUAACUCCUGAACAUAUUACGAAGUAUGAAAUUUUGGAGAUGUAUCCAAAACCAAUGAGAUGAGUUAUAAUGCAGCAGUAUACCAAAUAUAAAGUUCCAAAUUAACUAUAUUUGAAGUUAUAGUACUUCACAGCAUUUUUCAAUAAAGAAAUAUUAUUUUUGCUGUGUAUGAGAUUGAUUUUGAAAGAGUACUACCAUACAUCAACAUGAACUAGCGAACAAAAAUUCGUCCCACUUAAUGGUUUAGGACUAACUAUUUAUGUUCAAAAACUCACAACAUGAUUGAAAAAAAUAAAUAAAAAUGUAUCACGAAUUAAUUGAAAAGUAUUAUAAAAUAUUAGGACUUCUAAUGUAAUUAACCUGCCAAGUGCCUAACCUGCAUAUGAUCAUUCAACAAUUAAUAAUUACCUUGGAUUUGGAUUGCCUUUAACCAAUUUCUGCCCAUAUUUGCGCCAACGGUACCCAUCAUCCAGUAUAUCAACCUCACUCAUAGUUUGGACAACAACACGUGGUUCCCGUAUAGGCUUAAUCACUGGAGUAACAUCAAAACCCCCAGUAUCCAUUUUCCUGUUUGAUGUAAUUACAUUGUUCGUUGGUUAGUACAAAUACUUACCACUCAGUAAGAAGUUAAGACUGUUAAAACAAUACCUCCUUUUUGAGAAGGGAUCAUCAUCAUCUUCAGCACCUUCAGUACAAUCAUCAUUUGGUGUAAGAGGAGACUGUUCAGGGGUACCAUUUGGCUCAAUGGUAUUAGACACAUGGCCAUUGGCACUAGAUGACUUGUCAUCUCGGCCAUGUAAAGAUAAAAUUUUGUCAGAUCUAUCUUCUUGCAUCGACAAAACAGCACCAGCAGUAUAUCGGCGGCUGGGUUGAGGCUUAGGAUGAUCAUGUGUACCCUUAUACAUAAUCUCUGUUAUCUGUCCAUCAUGAGAGCGCUCAAAUAACUUCUUCACUUCACAGUUAGGAUGUGUACAUUUGUAAUAGCUGCGUGGGAAUUCACUUCCUUUAACAUGUUUCUGUCCAUAUUUUCUCCAGUUAUAUCCAUCAUCAGAUGACACUGAAAUGCCAUUUCCGCCUUUAUGAUCAGAUUGUGAUGCCUGAGGCCCACUGUUAGAGAUCCCCAUCUGGUUUAAUUCAUCUAAAUCAACUUCAGUAGUAGCACUAGGCCCUGAAGUAACCAUGGGAAGUGGUGCCGUUAGACUCAACUCAUUAGAGGGGACUGCCAUCUCACUUUUGACUGUAGGUGAUGAUGCAUGUGACUGAGACUGGCACUGGCCUUGAACUUGAACAGAUUCACUUCUUUGGUGGUUCAUAUCUGCAGGAACCAAGUUUGAUCUAGCAUGGGGUCUAAACUCAAAGGAGCUGUAUUUUCUUUCUCCAAAGGCAUUUGAGGGAACUGUGAUUGAAUAUGAAUUGGAGCCAAGAAAGCCAUGUCCCGUUUGAGGUUUAGUCAAGGAACCAGUAGUUGGAGAAGGCUCUGCCUUAACAUUUGAAAGCAGAACAGGAGACUCAAGAAACGACGUCGGACUGAGACCCGGAGGGAUCGUGAUGCAGGGUGACCUCGAGAUCGGGAGCUUCGCCGGGGACAUCAGCUUGUACCUGGCACCACCAGAGCCAGCAACACCGGCGGCGUCAGACUCAUGCCGCGUCGGAUCCCCAGAAUCGGACACUCCUUGGGAGGGCCCGCGAAGUCGAAGCUCAGACUCAGAGCUACUGUUGUCCAUUGCAACUUGCAAGAGAGAGAGAGAGAGAG
rnacentral:misc_RNA from 1 species